GCUGGCUCAGUUGGUAGAGCACGUGACUUUUGAUCUCAGGGUUGUGAGUUCAAGCCCCACAAUGCGCA
rnacentral:tRNA from 1 species